rnacentral:rRNA from 1 species
UGCAGUCGAACGGCAGCACGGGUGCUUGCACCUGGUGGCGAGUGGCGAACGGGUGAGUAAUAUAUCGGAACGUGCCCUAGAGUGGGGGAUAACGUAGCGAAAGUUACGCUAAUACCGCAUACGAUCUACGGAUGAAAGUGGGGGAUCGCAAGACCUCAUGCUCGUGGAGCGGCCGAUAUCUGAUUAGCUAGUUGGUAGGGUAAAAGCCUACCAAGGCGACGAUCAGUAGCUGGUCUGAGAGGACGACCAGCCACACUGGGACUGAGACACGGCCCAGACUCCUACGGGAGGCAGCAGUGGGGAAUUUUGGACAAUGGGGGAAACCCUGAUCCAGCAAUGCCGCGUGUGUGAAGAAGGCCUUCGGGUUGUAAAGCACUUUUGUCAGGAACGAAACGGUGGGGGCUAAUACCCCCUGCUAAUGACGGUACCUGAAGAAUAAGCACCGGCUAACUACGUGCCAGCAGCCGCGGUAAUACGUAGGGUGCAAGCGUUAAUCGGAAUUACUGGGCGUAAAGCGUGCGCAGGCGGUUGUGCAAGACAGAUGUGAAAUCCCCGGGCUUAACCUGGGAAUUGCAUUUGUGACUGCACGGCUAGAGUGUGUCAGAGGGGGGUAGAAUUCCACGUGUAGCAGUGAAAUGCGUAGAUAUGUGGAGGAAUACCGAUGGCGAAGGCAGCCCCCUGGGAUAACACUGACGCUCAUGCACGAAAGCGUGGGGAGCAAACAGGAUUAGAUACCCUGGUAGUCCACGCCCUAAACGAUGUCUACUAGUUGUCGGGUCUUAAUUGACUUGGUAACGCAGCUAACGCGUGAAGUAGACCGCCUGGGGAGUACGGUCGCAAGAUUAAAACUCAGAGGAAUUGACGGGGACCC